CUGCAAAGAAAUCCAGACUCCCCUGGCAUCCUGGAGCAAAUACCUCCUUAGUGCUGAGACCCAGAGGUAUUUUAAAAGACAGACAUGCCUUAUAGUUGAGGAAGAAAUAUGCAGGUGCAUAAAAAUCACAUUCCGGAAUUACUCGAAGAUGAUUUGUCAAGGUCACUCAAAGUGGGAACCCACAUUCUAGGUUUCUGUCUACAGACCUCAAUCUGUAUAAAACUAGAUUUCAUGAACAUGCAGGUACAUGUCCUUAUGGGAGCAUAUAAUGUGAUAUAUUAGGAAGAGAGGAUUCGAAAGUUACUACUGUAGAGCUAGUUUAGUCCCACUGUUUCAUUUGUACAAAGAUUUUGAAGUUCACAUGGGUCUAAUGGACCGUGCACUCUCACACGGAGACCAGAAAUCCACGGGCCUCCCCUUGUCCACUGUCCCCUGCUCAGACAGUGCUGGAAUCAUCUCCGGAACAGGGUCUGGGGUACAUCAAGGUCCAAAGGUCACACAGGAACAGGAAACUGUCUUUCACACACUUUCAAUACCAAAGUAUACACCAGCAAGUCAAUUCUGCAGACUUUGGGCGACCAAAGAUAACUCUGAAAGUCACUGCUCUGUGGGUGCGUCUGCAGAGCCGGGUCACCUGGACAGGAGACAAGGGUGCUCCUGAGGAGGGUUUGGAGGGGAUCCCAGGCUCCCACCACCCACAUGAAAAAGAAGACCUUUAUUUCCAUCCUUGGCAUGAAGCACCAGGGUCCUUAAGCCUGCUCUCACUGCCUGCCACACCAGUCCCUGUGUGUGUAUCUAAAGAGGUUAGCACAUCUCGGGUACACAGACCACAGCUUCCUCCAUUUGCUCAGGGCCUUAGAGGUCCGAGUAUCAUGGAGAUAUUGCUUCACUUCUCCUUAGGGUGUCCACAUCAAGACCCUGGAGCCAUCUUACCAACCUUCCGGAUCAGAGGGAGUGCUUCUGGGUAAGGGGUAAGUGUCCUGACGAGGGGGGCGGGUUUCUAGAGCGGAGCAUCCUUUUACCAAACCUGGGACACACAGACACUUGCAAGCACACGCCCGCAGGCAGAGAAGCAGGCGCAAAUGACCAGUGGCCACCUCCACCCUGGCUAUAGGGACACUCCUCACCCCCACGCACUUUAAAUUGGAAGAAUCCAGACUCACAGAGGCUCCCCUUAGCCCAGUACAACCAGUUAUCGCCUCUCCAGAUUUUCAAGUUCCUUCUGUUGGUGCCUUUUACCUAAGUCAGCAUGUUUCAAACUUUCAGAAAAGAAAAGGAAAAAAAAAAAAAAAAACCUUAGAAAAUAAAAACCACUACUCCACCCAAAUGAUAAAAAUCUCUUCAAUUCUCCAAGCACAACAUCUUAGUCUCCUCUUAACUCAGCACUGAGCGAGAAGUUGAUUCCUUUGGGUUCUGGGGAAUGGCGGGCUCUGCCAGUCCCCACCUCACCAGCCUAAUAGUUUUUCCAGACUGACUCCUGCUUGGUGUUGCGGGACAGCCUGGAAGCCGACUCCUGGUCCCAUUCAUUGCUCUGGGUCCUCUAAGGUUACCUUGUCCACGCUCUCCAGACCACGCUUUGGACUUUUUCACUUUUAUUUAAGAGUCCACCCGGGGAAGGAGGAAAAAAAAAAUCCAGAGGAGAUCCGAGUCAAUUGGAAAGAAAAAAAAAAAUUCAAAAGGGUGUCCACAGCGGCGAAAAAGCCCAGACUCUGCCGACCUUCAAACGACAACAGGGCUUUCAGGAGGGUGCAGGGAGACCGCUUCCCACCCGAACCUGGCCAGAAACCCGGCACCCCCAGCCACAUCGGCCCUCUUUCGGGCAGAAGGGAUUCCAACUCCACCACCCGGAGGCCCCCUUCCGGGUCCUGGGCAAACACUGAGGUUGCUAAUGGCCACCCCACCGGAGCCACUGCUCCCCCUUCCUGACGCACUCCUCCAAGUGCUUGAGAAGGCUCCUCUAUGGCAAAAAUGUUGUGUAGGUCUCUCUUCCCAACUUCUAUUGUGCCUGGCAAAGAUCCCGUUACCUUCACUGCACUGAUCAGUACAGUCACCCCAGUAAGCCUAGCACCCCCAAUUCCUUGCAGCAGCAGCUGUCUCUCCCAUUGGGAGUUGCUCAGUAUGCAACUAGAUUAAACUGAGGACUUGCCCUCCUGUUUUCACCGUGGA